rnacentral:rRNA from 1 species
AGAGUUUGAUUAUGGCUCAGGAUGAACGCUAGCUACAGGCUUAACACAUGCAAGUCGAGGGGUAGCAGGGUAGCAAUACCGCUGACGACCGGCGCACGGGUGAGUAACACGUAUCCAACCUUCCCAUAACUCUGGGAUAGCCUUUCGAAAGAAAGAUUAAUACCGGAUGGUACUUUUUCAAGGCAUCUUGAGAAAGUUAAAGAUUUAUUGGUUAUGGAUGGGGAUGCGUUCCAUUAGAUAGUUGGUGAGGUAACGGCUCACCAAGUCUUCGAUGGAUAGGGGUUCUGAGAGGAAGGUCCCCCACAUUGGUACUGAGACACGGACCAAACUCCUACGGGAGGCAGCAGUGAGGAAUAUUGGUCAAUGGGCGAGAGCCUGAACCAGCCAAGUAGCGUGAAAGGAUGAAGGUCCUAUGGAUUGUAAACUUCUUUUAUAGUAGAAUAAAGUGACCCACGUGUGGGUUUUUGUAUGUAUACUAUGAAUAAGGAUCGGCUAACUCCGUGCCAGCCGCUGC